rnacentral:tRNA from 1 species
GGUGGCAUCGUUCAGCGGCUAGGACACUGCCCUGUCAAGGCAGAGAUCGCGGGUUCGAAUCCCGUUGUCACCGCCA